rnacentral:rRNA from 1 species
UACGGAGGGUGCAAGCGUUGUCCGGAAUCACUGGGCGUAAAGGGCGCGUAGGCGGCCUGGUAAGUAGGGGGUGAAAUCCUGCGGCUUAACCGCAGGGCUGCCUUCUAAACUGUCAGGCUUGAGCACGGUAGAGGCAGAUGGAAUUCCCGGUGUAGCGGUGGAAUGCGUAGAGAUCGGGAAGAACAUCAGUGGCGAAGGCGGUCUGCUGGGCCGUUGCUGACGCUGAGGCGCGGACAGCGUGGGGAGCAAACAGG